rnacentral:rRNA from 1 species
AGAGUUUGAUCCUGGCUCAGGACGAACGCUGGCGGCGUGCUUAACACAUGCAAGUCGAACGGUGAAGCCCUUCGGGGUGGAUCAGUGGCGAACGGGUGAGUAACACGUGGGCAAUCUGCCUGCACUCUGGGACAAGCCCUGGAAACGGGGUCUAAUACCGGAUAUGACCAACUUCCGCAUGGUGGUUGGUGUAAAGCUCC